GAGGGUACAGCUCAGUGGGAGAGCACGUGCUUAGCGUGCACGAGGACCUGGAUUCAAUCCCCAGUGCCUCCA
rnacentral:tRNA from 1 species